AGUCGAUUCGGUAAAGCUCAUGGUUGCUAAACCGAUGAGUCUCGAAUUCGUACCCUCGGCUAGAUGAGGCUCGUGAUCUGGGGCAGCCAUUCAUCUAGGACAGACAACUCCAAAAUCAAACAACUACUGCCUUGUAGUUUGUUCUUGGUUGGACAAAGGCUAUGGAAGCAAAUCCAAAAACAAAACUGGUGAUUGCAAAUAUGGUGGGAAGACGUACAAGCACAUGGAGGUCACAUCUGAUAAACUUUGUAGAUGCUGGGACAUGGCUGUGAUGUGUGCCUGAGAGCUGAUGUAAUAAAAUACAUAUAAUGUAUUGAGUGUAAUGAAAAGCAAUUAAAGUAAAUUUUAAACUUG